rnacentral:tRNA from 1 species
UGGUCUGGCUGGGUCUUCAAACCCGGUGACGGCGAGG